UACGGAGGGAGCUAGCGUUAUUCGGAAUUACUGGGCGUAAAGCGCACGUAGGCGGCUUUGUAAGUUAGAGGUGAAAGCCUGGAGCUCAACUCCAGAAUUGCCUUUAAGACUGCAUCGCUUGAAUCCAGGAGAGGUGAGUGGAAUUCCGAGUGUAGAGGUGAAAUUCGUAGAUAUUCGGAGGAACACCAGUGGCGAAGGCGGCUCACUGGCUCGACACUGACGCUGAGGUGCGAAAGCGUGGGGAGCAAACAGG
rnacentral:rRNA from 1 species